UCACAGAAUUUAAGGAUGCCAAACCAUUG
rnacentral:piRNA from 2 species